rnacentral:rRNA from 1 species
GACGAACGCUGGCGGCGCGCUUAACACAUGCAAGUCGAACGGAAAGGCCCUGCUUUUGUGGGGUGCUCGAGUGGCGAACGGGUGAGUAACACGUGAGUAACCUGCCCUUGACUUUGGGAUAACUUCAGGAAACUGGGGCUAAUACCGGAUAGGAGCUCCUGCUGCAUGGUGGGGGUUGGAAAGUUUCGGCGGUUGGGGAUGGACUCGCGGCUUAUCAGCUUGUUGGUGGGGUAGUGGCUUACCAAGGCUUUGACGGGUAGCCGGCCUGAGAGGGUGACCGGCCACAUUGGGACUGAGAUACGGCCCAGACUCCUACGGGAGGCAGAAGUGGGGAAUAUUGCACAAUGGGCGGAAGCCUGAUGCAGCAACGCCGCGUGCGGGAUGACGGCCUUCGGGUUGUAAACCGCUUUCGCCUGUGACGAAGCGUGAGUGACGGUAAUGGGUAAAGAAGCACCGGCUAACUACGUG